CUGACGUUAGCGGCGGACGGGUGAGUAACACGCGGGUAACCUACCUAUAAGACUGGGAUAACUCCGGGAAACCGGGGCUAAUACCGGAUAACACAUGAAACCGCAUGGUUUCAUGAUGAAAGACGGUUUUGCUGUCACUUAUAGAUGGACCCGCGGCGUAUUAGCUAGUUGGUAAGGUAACGGCUUACCAAGGCAACGAUACGUAGCCGACCUGAGAGGGUGAUCGGCCACACUGGAACUGAGACACGGUCCAGACUCCUACGGGAGGCAGCAGUU
rnacentral:rRNA from 1 species